rnacentral:rRNA from 1 species
CGUAGGGUGCGAGCGUUAAUCGGAAUUACUGGGCGUAAAGCGUGCGCAGGCGGUUUUGUAAGACAGGCGUGAAAUCCCCGGGCUCAACCUGGGAACUGCGUUUGUGACUGCAAGGCUAGAGUAUGGCAGAGGGGGGUGGAAUUCCACGUGUAGCAGUGAAAUGCGUAGAGAUGUGGAGGAACACCGAUGGCGAAGGCAGCCCCCUGGGCCAAUACUGACGCUCAUGCACGAAAGCGUGGGUAGCAAACAGGAUUAGAUACCCUGGUAGUCCACGCCCUAAACGAUGUCAACUAGGUGUUGGGUGGGUAAAACCAUUUAGUACCGGAGCUAACGCGUAAAGUUGACCGCCUGGGGAGUACGGCCGCAAGGUUA